AUUGAACGCUGGCGGCAGGCCUAACACAUGCAAGUCGAGCGGAUGAGAAGAGCUUGCUCUUCGAUUCAGCGGCGGACGGGUGAGUAAUGCCUAGGAAUCUGCCUGGUAGUGGGGGACAACGUUUCGAAAGGAACGCUAAUACCGCAUACGUCCUACGGGAGAAAGCAGGGGAACUUCGGGGCGUGCGCUAUCAGAUGAGCCUUGGUCGGAUUAGCUAGUUGGUGAGGUAAUGGCUCACCAAGGCGACGAUCCGUAACUGGUCUGAGAGGAUGUUCAGUCACACUGGAACUGAGACACGGUCCAGACUCCUACGGGAGGCAGCAGUGGGGAAUAUUGGACAAUGGGCGAAAGCCUGAUCCAGCCAUGCCGCGUGUGUGAAGAAGGUCUUCGGAUUGUAAAGCACUUUAAGUUGGGAGGAGGGGCAGUAAGUUAAUACCUUGCUGUUUUGACGUUACCGACAGAAUAAGCACCGGCUAACUACGUGCCAGCAGCCGCGGUAAAAC
rnacentral:rRNA from 1 species